AUAAGGGCACGCUAAUACCGUGUUUGAUGACGGUACCCCUUUAGCAAGCACCGGCUAACUCUGUGCCAGCAGCCGCGGUAAGACAGAGGGUGCAAACGUUGUUCGGAAUUACUGGGCGUAAAGCGCGUGUAGGCUGUUCGGAAAGUCGGAUGUGAAAGCCCCGGGCUCAACCCGGGAAGUGCAUUCGAAACUUCCGAGCUGGAGUCCUGGAGAGGAAGGCGGAAUUCUCGGUGUAGAGGUGAAAUUCGUAGAUAUCGAGAGGAACACCGGUGGCGAAGGCGGCCUUCUGGACAGUGACUGACGCUGAGACGCGAAAGCGUGGGGAGCAAACAGGAUUAGAUACCCUGGUAGUCCACGCCGUAAACGAUGGGUGCUAGGUGUCGCGGGCUUUGACCCCCGCGGUGCCGCAGCUAACGCAUUAAGCACCCCGCCUGGGGAGUACGGCCGCAAGGCUAAAACUCAAAGGAAUUGACGGGGGC
rnacentral:rRNA from 1 species